GGGAGCAGCUGGGUCCAAACUGCCAGCAACAAGGUGUAGUAAACCUGGAAGGGUGGUAGUCAUCUUCCUGGGGCUGCAGGAGCGUCUGUGGCCUCAAUAAACCUGGUGGAAGCCUACUGCUGAAGCCAGAACUCCAAUCCUCUAAGGGCUCUGAACGGCUGUUUGGGGCAAUGCUGUCUCUUCAGAGGCAACACUGUCAGAAACACAACAGAGUCCAGACCAGCAGCCAGUGGGUAUGGGUACUCACAGGAGGUAAGAAGGGGACUGUGUGCUAAACUAAAUCAGGUGCCAGUUAGCUCUGGAUCUGGGGCCAAGGGGACAUGUAGGCUGGGCUGUAUAACUCUUGUUUCUUCGCUAUGUUAAAGCAGUGUAGCUUCAUCGGAUUCACAGACUCCUGGUCUAUGAAGCUAAGUCUUCAUCACACUACUUAGCAAAAGCUUACUGUACUAAAUGGUCAGGAAACUAAUGGCUCCAUAUUCUUAGUAUUCAUCCGUAGAGGAGCCUGUGUAAAGCUCCUCUUGUCCACUGUCCCAUCACCACCUCCUUUGGUCACCCAGUGGAUAAGACAACAUUGGUUCCUAUGGGGUUCAUCUGAAGCCCCAUCUUUGUGACUUAACACCACUCUUUAGAGGUUUGGCUUCAGAGGCAUACCCCAAACCAGUUCAUCAUCCACAUGGCCCUAAUCAUGACAAUAAAAAGCCAUCAACUCUCAAGCCAGUCACCUGGGCCUAUUGUCUCAUUUAUACUGAAGGUUGGGCUGGUCACUUUUAUAGACAGGGUCCUUAAAGCCCUCAGAGGUCAAAUAACUCAUUACAAGUUCCCCAGUGGUUCAGUGCUGCUUGGUGGAAUGGGCCACCUGACUUGACGCCAGAGCCUGUUUGGGCUAACUGCCUCAGCUAAUGCCUGCCCGUCCCAGAGAUGAGGCAGCCCUUGCUUUGCCUUUCUCGACUCCUUGGGUCUCCAGGGCAACACAUAGGGUUCUCCUUUCCUGCCAGCCCUCACAUCUGUUGUGGGAUAAUCGUUUUGUACACUGUGAAGAUGAGUCUCUGCCUAAGGUCCCUUCUGAUUGACUUAAAAAGGAGCUGAAUAGUCAGUUGCUAGGUAGGAGAGAACAGGUGGAACUUAGAACUUCCCGAAAGAGAGAGGAGAGAGAGGAAAGCCAUACGUUUGCUUUGGUGUGUACCAGAGUCGGUGACAGUGGAAUAGGAAGACAGACUUCAGGCUCCAUAAUCUCAUAGCCUAAUAUGAGAGAGAGAGAGAGAGAGAGAGAGAGAGAGAGAGAGAGAGAGAGAGAAAGAGCAAGAGAGAGAGAGAGAAUCUGAGGUAUGAAUGAGUUAUGCAUGCUUGCAGGAUUAAGCCAGCCAAACAAGGAGGGACUCACACAGACAGAGUGGAGGAGAGGUAAAGAGCCUUGUUCCUAGUGGCAGAAUGUAAAUGAAUAGAAAUGGGAUAAUUUAAGUUCUAAGAGCUAGUUGGGAACAAGCCUAAGCUACAGGCAAGCAUUCAUAAUUAAUAAUAAUUCUCCAUGUCAUUAUUUGGGAACUGGCAGUACAAAGAACGUCUGGUUGCACACAUGGAAUCUAUGAAUCUGGCUGUUCUGGUCACUUUUCUAUCUGCUGGACAUUUGUUUUCUGGAUGUCUCUUCCUCUUUCUCCAAUUCCUUCCCUACUUCCCCAUCCCCUUCCCUUCCUCCCUUUCCUCCUUUCUCCCAUUCCUUUCUUUCUCUCCUUAAAAUAGUGUUACCACACAUCUUAGACUAGACUUGAACACACAAUCUAGCCCAGGACGGCCUUGAAUUUGCAAUCUUUCUGCCUCAUCCCUCAGAUGCUGGGGUUACCAGCAUGUACCACCACCUCAAGUUUGGGCAUCCAUUCUACACCCAGCCAGCUGUCUUUCCGGCUCAUCUUGCCCACCACUGUGCAGCCAGUUCAGGCUCCACACUAUAUGCUUUUGCUAUGCCCUAAAGCAGCCCUCCACGACUCCCGGUGUGCUGAAGCCUAAGACUGGUCAGCCUUGGUGGGGAAUGAGAUCUGCUUCUGCUGCCAAUGUGCAGUUGGGCUUUGCAGCUUUCCUCCUGCCUUCUGCGGAUGCCUGGUGGAAUGUCAGUUCCAGGUGGUCACAGAUUUACACCCCUUGAUCGCUGAGACAUCCCCACUCAGAGACUGAAGCCCGACUUAUUGUAAGUGCUCACUAAAGAGUUGUUAGAUUAAUUAAUGAAAUUAUUUUCCCAGCCAGUGAGAUUAUCCCCUUUCUGUGAUAGUUCAGCAAGGAAACAUUGAAAGAUAUAAACUAUGCUGUCAGGUUGUUUGGAAGAUACUGAUUUUUUUAAAUGAAGAAAAUCUGAAUAAGGAUUCUUAAGGUUUGUUAUAUUUUAUGUGGUUGUUUGUGUGUUUAUUGCUGUGCUGAGGGUAGAACCCAUGAACUCUAGUUUGCUAGGCAACUUCUCUUUCACAGAACAGCAUCCUCAAACCCCAAGCCUGUUAUAUUUUAGGAGUCAACAUCUGUCCAGUAAGGGCUUUUAAUGUUUAUGAAGCGAUGCAUUUAAUUGUUCUAUUCCAAGAUAAUGAUAGUAUGACUUGCCUCCCUUCCCUCUCCCUUCACUUACUCCAAGAUAAUGAUAGCAUGAUUUAUUCUUAGUAUUGGAACGCCAGCUUAACAUAGGGUGACAAAGGACUCCUUGCUGUGACCGGUAGAAGCCUAGCUGAGACAGGAGUAUCAAGUCUUUUGAGACGGAAUCCUAGGACUGAAGCAAUGCUAUCCACUGCAUGCUGUGGGCCCUAUCUACUCGUCUUCCCUCCCUUCCUAUUUGGGUGUUCACCACAUUCCCUACCUACCCUUCCUUUCAGAGGACACUCUCAUCACAAAAUCUCAUGGUCGCAGCUUCCCCACAACAAUGUACUGUGUCAAUACAAUUUGGGUGGACUGGUCUUCCUUGGUUCAUGAGAACAGGGUCCAUCACCCAUCUCUUUGCCAUGCUGCCUCCUACCAUGUAUCACAGAAGGCCCACGGGACCCAAGAUGUACCGUGAGGAAAGAAACAGCUCUGUCAACGCAGGUAGACAUGACAGAUGGCUGGCGUGUUGGCAGGAGGCAUCGAGUGGCUGGGCCAGCUAGUGGAGGGAGAGGGAAGGGUAAUUUUUGAAGGAGAGGAUAGGAGAGUUAGCAGAGAAAGGCAGCAGACUCUGAGAUAGGCAGAGCUGGGGACUAAGAAGGUAUGGGCACAUUGCUAGAGUUCAGAGUUACUCUGCCCUUGGCUUUUCAUGGGGACUUUAGAUAUCUGUAGGCCUUUCCCUUGUAUCCCAGAUGGGGGUUGGAUCCUUUCAGCAGUACUGAACUUGCCGAUGUGACUUUCCAUUUGAAUGACAUGCCAUGACUGGGCAGAAGAUGCCAGUGGGUACUUUUGUUUUCUCCUAUAAUAGUGGCAUAUCUCAAACAGGUCUUCCCAUUCGCAUUGGAUCUGGUGCUCAGGAACCAGGUGGAGCUGCCCCUGGCACAUCCCAACCCUUGCACACCUGUGGCUACAAACCACUUAGAUCCAGGGAGGUCACUGUGACAUGGACGGGUGACAGCUGACCAGUAGUCCACAACUGGAAGUGCUCAGUCCCCGUGAAGUCCUGCAAGAGUGCUUGGAUUGUGAUGGAGGCUCGGUGGUGACCAUCAGGGCAAGUGUACUGGGACUUGGACAUAACUUUCUCAUUGGCCCUGGAUUGUCUUACAGAAAAGGGCUUAUCCCUGGACCUGCGGAGGUAGUCUUUCCCAUGUGCGCCUCCGAUUAGGAGUGGGAAGCACACAUUCCAAUUAAAAUCUGCCCUGUGACCGUGGUUGUAGGCCCUAAUUUUUCCAGAGCUAUUUCUUUAUAAAUGACUAUUAACAUUCCUUCCAGCAUAAAGAAGAUUCUGCAUCUCUAGGCAAACAACUGCUGGAAUCUCGCUCAUAAGUCACAAAGCUGUUGGACAGAGAAAAGAGAUGUUUCCUAGGAAAAGGGAAACCACGCUGUGUCGUGGGGAUGUGAAAGCCCCUUUGCCGACAGCUUCUCCUUUGACUCAGAGGACUUAGAAUAAAAAGCAGGUACCAACUGAAGACAGCAAGGGAGGCGGCUGCAGGAAGUGGAUGGAGCUCAGGCUGAGAAUCCCAGCUGGCUUCCAGCCGGGUGACCUUGCCACUCAUUUCCCUCGGUUUGGACUUCCCCAUAUGUAACAAUAAACGCCCUGCAAACUCC